UCGCGCACUUCAUCCAUCGUCGUGCUGGUUUUUCAUCCGAUUUUAUUUCAGUUUCAUGCGACCGACUUCGUCUCGUCUCGCAUCGCAUCGCGCCGUCCGUCAAACAGAAGUGAACGAGUCCGCAUAGAUCGUGUGUGGUCCCACUCGCACCAAUCCUGUUCUAUUACGAUUUGCUCCAUGGCUGGCGAUUCGAUCGCCUGCAUGGCUGCAUGGCUGCAUCGCCUGACAUAGCGGGAGACAGGUUAAUCCACGCGCCACCGCCCGUCACGAGCCACGCCGCUGCCGCUGCCGCCUGGGAGAAUCGGGUUUCCGCGCUCGCCGCUGGAAGCUGCCGGCAACGGGCUCCAUCCCGCUAUGACGGUUCAAUUCCAUUCCCUCACCGCAACUGCCCGGGGAGGAUGCAACCCGCGUCACCUGCGGCGAGUUUCUCUGACCCAGCCGAUUCCGUCUAAAAUUAAUCAGAAAGUGAGUAGCCUCAUCCUACUAUACUACUACCCAUCCUCCGCCUGAUUUCUCUUAUGGAAGGGGAACCUACUACCGAUCUCACAUUCACAUAUUUGUGAUUGAUUGGUCGAGCGUGGAGAUGGCAGCCGGGAGCCCGGGAAUGAUAGCACGGGACGACCUUCACUUAUAAUCAUAUAGCGGUUCGAAAUGUGUGGGCGAAUCAAAGAAAUAUGUGGUCAGGGUCAGGGACGACAGUUCUGUGUGGGGGAGAAAAGCCGAUGAUGGAUUGAGACAUCCCUCUUCAAGCUGAGGAGUGAUUCCUCAAGUAUGCUAUAAUCAACCUCCUAUUUCAAUCUAUUCAGAGACAGGAGGAACUGUGCUGCUCCGAACUAUUCUGCUCAUGAUCCUACGAAAAGGUGCGGACUUGUUAGCCUGCCUUGAGAAGGUUCAGCACAUUAAGCCUCCACAAGUCAAACCACACGAUAAGCUCCUAUGAUUUGUUAACAUCCAGAUUCCCCACCUAUCAUGUCAUUGUGCUGUACAUCAAAAAUCUCGGAGUACAUAGACAAGGGGGUUUCAUAGCAUUUCAAGGAGCCUAUUAUGGCCUUCCAAGGGGGAAAAAAAGAUUUAUGUAUCUGACUGCGAAAGAAAGUGAGAAGGUGAAAAGGUUGCAUCAGAAUCAACAAUCACUUAGACAGGUUAAAAAUCAUGACAAAUCUAUAUUAGCUUUUUCCGUUGUAACUUGCGGGCAUUGUCUUUAGUAGUUCUCUCCGUUGCAACUCACAGGCAUUUUGCUAGUUAAAAAAAGAAAACAAAGCAAUAUCAUUUUUGCAUCAAAUACUUGAUAUCCAUGCAAAUUUU